AGGAGAGAAGAGGAGUAGCCAGAGGCGGAGGGGCGGUGUCGGGAAGGAGGAGCGCGGCAGGAAAUAAGGGAAGGAGCUAGAGGCGGGCUGGGGGCCGGGGUCUGGAAGGAGGAUCGCGGUAGGGAAGAAGAGGAGCCAGAGGAGGGGGAUGGGGGCUGCAAAGGAGGAACGCGAUAGGGAAAAGGGGGAGGAGCCAGAGGCGAGGGGGCGGGGAGAAGAAACAUGGCAGGAGAAAGGGGAGGAGCCAGAGGCGAAGAGACAGGAAGAGGGACGCGUCAGGGAGAAGGGGAGGAGUCAGAGGCGAGCGGGCGUGGAGGAGGGAAGCGGCAGGGAGAAGGGGCGGGGCCAGAGGCGAAGGGGCGGGGAGGAGGGACGCGGCAGGGAGAAGGGGAGGAGCCAGAGGCGGAGGCUGUUACCAACUGGCUACCUAGAUCCAAGUGAAUCAGGACACUAACUUCUCUCCAAGAUCUUUUACACUUGUGAAACGGCACAGCUCUCUAAACCAAACACUGACAGCAGUUUAAUUUUACAGAUAUAAAAAAAAUCCGAGUCAGAGAAAUCAUCACGAUGAAGUCAGAGGCGAGAAACUGUCAGUGUAUACAGAGUCUUGCUCUGUCGCCCAGGUUGAAGUGCAGUGGUUCGAUCUCGGCUCAAUGCAACCUCUACCUCCCUGGCUCCCGCGAUUCUCCUGCCUCAGCCUCCUGAGUAGCUGAGAUUACAGGCGCCCGCCACCACCCCCGGCUAAUUUUGGUAUUUUUAGUAGAGAUGGGGUUUCACCAUGUUGGCCAGGCUGAUCUGGAACUCCUAGCCUCAAGCAAUCCGCCUUCAAAAGUGUUGGGGAUUACAGGAGUGAGCCACCGCGCCCGGCCUAUCAAUGAAUAAGAAAACUUUUAAAGAACCACAGGAUAGUAUUGGAGGUCAAGUCAAGUAUGUUCCUCUUGGAAAUUUAGUAACAAACUACAUGUUGCUAUCUCAUAAUAGCAGCUAACAUUUAUGAAGUAUUCAUUGUCAUGAGGCACCGUACAUAGAUUUCUAAUUUAAUCCUUACAACGAUUUUAUUAGGGAGAAACUGCUAUUAGACCCAUUUUGUAAAUGAGAAAACUAAGGCACACAAAGUUUAAUGAGGGAACCAGGAUUAAACCUAAGCAAUCUAACUCCAGGUCCCAGAUUUUUUAACCAUUACAGUACUGUUUAAUUUGAUUUGAUAUGUUAAAAGGAUUAAUAAAAUUAAUACAGGUCCAUUCCCUUAUUCAUAAAUGUUCAUUGUCUUCAUUUAUUUCUUUAUACUGUUCUGCUGAAAUUGCACUCUCAUCUCCCCAAUAACUUUGUAAUAUCCAAUGCCAUUUUUUUCAGUCAUCCCAUUUUAAAAUAUAUUUUUACUAGAAUAGUGAAAUAUAUAUUCAGAUAAAAUUGGCUUUGUUUUAAUAAUGAUCAGUAAAAGUAAAUUCAUUUUAAUCAUUUCCACACAUUCAUGAAAAGUAAAGGGGAAAAAUGGGCAUAGAGGUAACCACUAGAAUUAGGCUUUCUUGGAUGGGUAGACCAGGUGUGGAGGUGUGCAGAUAAGAUUUUACAAACACUCAUACACUCCCAUCUCCAAAAUCAUAAUUUAUCUUACAUUCUGCUACUAAUAAACAUUCCACUGGUUUUAAACAUUCACUUUGCUGGGUCUCCUCUUUAAAAUUUGUCAUUCACUGUUCUCAAUGUUAGAGACGGUAUGCAAACAGUAGGUUUAGGAAUAGAGUCAGGAGAUGGGGGAAGAAAAACUGGUAGGAGAGAACUUAAGUGUCUCACAGUGUUAAAUGUGACUUGAUAGCCACUAUUCAUUUUUUUUUGUAGUUUGCUGUGAGGAUGACUUUAUACAAUUUAAUCUUAAAUAGGAACCUAACUUAGUUAGGCUUCCUUGGGUAGUCUGUGGAGCAUGGAAAAGUUAUUAGCAUGUCAAAAUCCUGUCCACGCACACAUACACGCACAUACACACAAAUGUAGUUUGGUUACAUAAUAAAUUUAU
rnacentral:lncRNA from 1 species